rnacentral:rRNA from 1 species
CAAGUGCCAUAGUAACUGAUGGCACCUUGACGGUACCUAACCAGAAAGCCACGGCUAACUACGUGCCAGCAGCCGCGGUAAUACGUAGGUGGCAAGCGUUGUCCGGAAUUAUUGGGCGUAAAGCGCUCGCAGGCGGUUCUUUAAGUCUGAUGUGAAAUCUUACGGCUCAACCGUAAACGUGCAUUGGAAACUGGGGAACUUGAGUGCAGAAGAGGAGAGUGGAAUUCCACGUGUAGCGGUGAAAUGCGUAGAGAUGUGGAGGAACACCAGUGGCGAAGGCGACUCUCUGGUCUGUAACUGACGCUGAGGAGCGAAAGCGUGGGGAGCGAACAGGAUUAGAUACCCUGGUAGUCCACGCCGUAAACGAUGAGUGCUAGGUGUUAGGGGGUUUCCGCCCCUUAGUGCUGAAGUUAACGCAUUAAGCACUCCGCCUGGGGAGUACGGCCGCAAGGCUGAAACUCAAAAGAAUUGACGGGGGCCCGCACAAGCGGUGGAGCAUGUGGUUUAAUUCGAAGCAACGCGAAGAACCUUACCAGGUCUUGACAUCCUCUGAACACUCUAGAGAUAGAGUUUUCCCUUCGGGGACAGAGUGACAGGUGGUGCAUGGUUGUCGUCAGCUCGUGUCGUGAGAUGUUGGGUUAAGUCCCGCAACGAGCGCAACCCUUGAUCUUAGUUGCCAGCAUUCAGUUGGGCACUCUAAGGUGACUGCCGGUGACAAACCGGAGGAAGGUGGGGACGACGUCAAAUCAUCAUGCCCCUUAUGACCUGGGCUACACACGUGCUACAAUGGAUGGAACAAAGGGAAGCGAACCCGCGAGGUCAAGCAAAUCCCACAAAACCAUUCU